rnacentral:lncRNA from 1 species
CUCUCUCACCUCUAUAACCACAUUUUCUUCUCCUAGAAUCAGUCAACAGUCCUCUGGUCAGAGCUCCUACUCUGAUAGAACUAUAUAGUUUGGGUUAAUCAGAAUCUUUAAACACCUCUACGUAAAUCAACACAGUUAAAAUAUAGUCGCCUUUCAAAUCUGGUUUUUUGAGGUUACCUGCUAACCCCUGAGAGAGUAAUUUCUGUGCUUACCUGCCUGCCUGUCCUUUUAGAUGCUGUUAUGUCAUCUGUCUGCUCUUCA